GGUCUCGUCUGUGUUUUCUACGAGCUGGUGGACUGAGAGGGUGGCGUUGUAGGGCUCCACCACUGUGUCUGACACUUUGGGCGAAGGCAGUCACAGCUCUCAGCCUCCUUUCUCACAACAUCCAGCACCGAGUCCACCAGCUCCGCGCCUUCUGUGUAGUGCCCCUUGGCCCAGUUGUUCCCAGCACCACUCUGACCUGUGAGAGAACACAGCUAAUCAUUUGUCAGCCAGGUAGACAGCACUACUGGUCACCGCCAUGCGAAAAAAGCCGAGUGACAUGGUGUGAGCUGACCACAGAAUUCACCCUGGAGGUAGAGCAAACGGACCCUUCAAAGCCAAAAGACGGCAGCCUGCCCUGCUACGAAUUAAGUCAGGGGCCAAACCUGACAGCUUAACAAACCCCUCCCCGGGGGGGCCACUGCCAAUUCCCAAGGACAGAGGAACAGCCACUGCCCCAGCUCAGCUCCCUGCAGGGAGAUUACGUGUGUGGCGGCUCCUCGCCUCGGCAGACAGCUGGACCUUGCUCCCAAAGCCGAUUUAGUAGAGGGGAUUGAGUGGCUCAGAGAAGAGGAGGGCGUCCAGGGGCCCCGGCUGCGCAGUUCCCACGGCGGUGCCCUUGGAGCAGCCCCUUGACCUUUGAGCCGCCGCCCAGUCCCCAGCCACGGCUCACCGAAAACGAAGUUGUCCGGCCGGAAGAUCUGCCCGAAGGGCCCCGAGCGCACGGAGUCCAUGGUGCCGGGCUCCAGAUCCACGAGCACGGCGCGGGGCACGUACUUGCCGCCUGCGGGGACGGGAGGGCGUCAGCCAAGGCAGGGGCCGCGGGGUCCCCGGAGGGCGGUCGGGGAAGGGGCCGGGGCCUCACCGGUGGCCUCAUUGUAGUACACGUUGAUGCGUUCCAGCUGCAGGUCGCUGUCCCCGUGGUAGGUGCCCGUGGGGUCGAUGCCGUGCUCAUCGCUGAUCACCUCCCAAAACUACAAGGGACGCGGGCGGGCCCGGGCGGGCCGGGGCUGAGUCACCG
rnacentral:lncRNA from 1 species